rnacentral:lncRNA from 1 species
CUUAUCAUUAUUUUUUUUUAAUUUAAUUUAAAAGCUGAUCUACACAGACAGUUUUGACGAAUUUAUUACAUAAAAUUUCACUUGUUCUAUUUUUAUUUUCUUUGCAUAACAAAUCCUAUAAACACAAAAAUAACGUAAAUAGCUCAAAAAUAUAAGGAACUAACUAAGAAAAGACGAGUGAAUUCAAAGUAAAAAUAUAUAUAAAUAUGAUCCGAUCAAAUACCCCUACACUUAAGUUUUGCUAGUCCUCGAGCAAAACAAAGAAAACAAGAACAAGAAGUAACAAGAAAAACAUUAGCUUCCCCCUAUGUGACCCUCAUAGAAUUUCAUUUGAGAACACAAAUCAACAAGAACCAUAGCUAGCACCAAACAAACUAAUCCAAGUUCAUCUUCCUUAUUCAAAUAUUAGCAGUAAU